rnacentral:rRNA from 1 species
CACAUGCAAGUCGAACGGAAAGGCCCCUUCGGGGGUACACGAGUGGCGAACGGGUGAGUAACACGUGGGUAAUCUGCCCUGCACAUCGGGAUAAGCCUGGGAAACUGGGUCUAAUACCGAAUAGGACCACGGGAUGCAUGUCCUGUGGUGGAAAGCUUUUGCGGUGUGGGAUGGGCCCGCGGCCUAUCAGCUUGUUGGUGGGGUGAUGGCCCACCAAGGCGACGACGGGUAGCCGGCCUGAGAGGGUGUCCGGCCACACUGGGACUGAGAUACGGCCCAGACUCCUACGGGAGGCAGCAGUGGGGAAUAUUGCACAAUGGGCGCAAGCCUGAUGCAGCGACGCCGCGUGGGGGAUGACGGCCUUCGGGUUGUAAACCUCUUUCACCAUCGACGAAGGUCCGGGUUUUCUCGGAUUGACGGUAGGUGGAGAAGAAGCACCGGCCAACUACGUGCCAGCAGCCGCGGUAAUACGUAGGGUGCGAGCGUUGUCCGGAAUUACUGGGCGUAAAGAGCUCGUAGGUGGUUUGUCGCGUUGUUCGUGAAAUCUCACGGCUUAACUGUGAGCGUGCGGGCGAUACGGGCAGACUUGAGUACUGCAGGGGAGACUGGAAUUCCUGGUGUAGCGGUGGAAUGCGCAGAUAUCAGGAGGAACACCGGUGGCGAAGGCGGGUCUCUGGGCAGUAACUGACGCUGAGGAGCGAAAGCGUGGGGAGCGAACAGGAUUAGAUACCCUGGUAGUCCACGCCGUAAACGGUGGGUACUAGGUGUGGGUUUCCUUCCUUGGGAUCCGUGCCGUAGCUAACGCAUUAAGUACCCCGCCUGGGGAGUACGGCCGCAAGGCUAAAACUCAAAGAAAUUGACGGGGGCCCGCACAAGCGGCGGAGCAUGUGGAUUAAUUCGAUGCAACGCGAAGAACCUUACCUGGGUUUGACAUGCACAGGACGCCGGCAGAGAUGUCGGUUCCCUUGUGGCCUGUGUGCAGGUGGUGCAUGGCUGUCGUCAGCUCGUGUCGUGAGAUGUUGGGUUAAGUCCCGCAACGAGCGCAACCCUUGUCUCAUGUUGCCAGCGGGUAAUGCCGGGGACUCGUGAGAGACUGCCGGGGUCAACUCGGAGGAAGGUGGGGAUGACGUCAAGUCAUCAUGCCCCUUAUGUCCAGGGCUUCACACAUGCUACAAUGGCCGGUACAAAGGGCUGCGAUGCCGCGAGGUUAAGCGAAUCCUUUUAAAGCCGGUCUCAGUUCGGAUCGGGGUCUGCAACUCGACCCCGUGAAGUCGGAGUCGCUAGUAAUCGCAGAUCAGCAACGCUGCGGUGAAUACGUUCCCGGGCCUUGUACACACCGCCCGUCACGUCAUGAAAGUCGGUAACACCCGAAGCCAGUGGCCUAACCCUUUGGGAGGGAGCUGUCGAAGGUGGGAU